rnacentral:rRNA from 1 species
GACGAACGCUGGCGGCGUGCUUAACACAUGCAAGUCGAACGAUGAAGCUUGGUGCUUGCACUGGGUGGAUUAGUGGCGAACGGGCGAGUAACACGUGAGUAACCUGUCCUUUUCUUUGGGAUAACGGCUGGAAACGGCUGCUAAUACCGGAUAUUCAGGCGUGACCGCAUGGUUGUGUUUGGAAAGGUUUUUUCUGGAAUGGGGUGGGCUCGCGGCCUAUCAGCUUGUUGGUGGGGUGAUGGCUUACCAAGGCUUUGACGGGUAGCCGGCCUGAGAGGGUGGUCGGUCGCACUGGGACUGAGAUACGGCCCAGACUCCUACGGGAGGCAGCAGUGGGGAAUAUUGCACAAUGGACGAAAGUUUGAUGCAGCGACGCCGCGUGGAGGGUGUAGGCCUUCGGGUUGUGAACUCCUUUUUCUAGCGAAAAAGGCACGGUUUUGGCCGUGUUGAUGGUAGUUGGGGAAGAAGCGCCGGCUAACUACGUGCCAGCAGCCGCGGUAAUACGUAGGGCGCGAGCGUUGUCCGGAUUUAUUGGGCGUAAAGAGCUCGUAGGUGGUUCGUCGCGUCUGUCGUGAAAGCCAGCAGCUUAACUGUUGGUCUGCGGUGGGUACGGGCGGGCUUGAGUGCGGUAGGGGAGAUUGGAAUUCCUGGUGUAGCGGUGGAAUGCGCAGAUAUCAGGAGGAACACCGAUGGCGAAGGCAGGUCUCUGGGCCGUUACUGACGCUGAGGAGCGAAAGCGUGGGGAGCGAACAGG